rnacentral:rRNA from 1 species
UACACAGCGAUGUGAUGCUAAUCUCCAAACCCAUGUCUCAGUUCGGAUCGGAGUCUGCAACUCGACUCCGUGAAGCUGGAUUCGCUAGUAAUCGCGCAUCAGCCAUGGCGCGGUGAAUACGUUCCCGGGCCUUGUACACACCGCCCGUCAAGCCAUGGGAGCCGGGGGUACCUGAAGUCCGUAACCGCGAGGAUCGGCCUAGGGUAAAACUGGUGACUGGGGCUAAGUCGUAACAAGGUAUC